rnacentral:tRNA from 1 species
GGAAAUAUGCCCGAGCCAUGGGGCUACUUUGAUAGAGUAAACCACAGAGGUUUAAACCCUCUUAUUUCCU